rnacentral:tRNA from 3 species
GCACCCUUCGUCUAGAGGCCUAGGACGGUGCCCUCUCAAGGCAUCAACACGGGUUCGAAUCCCGUAGGGUGUACCA